rnacentral:rRNA from 1 species
GGAAUCUUGCACAAUGGAGGAAACUCUGAUGCAGCGAUGCCGCGUGAGUGAAGAAGGCCUUUGGGUUGUAAAGCUCUUUUGUAGGGGAAGAUAAUGACUGUACCCUAACAAUAAGGUCCGGCUAACUUCGUGCCAGCAGCCGCGGUAAUACGAAGGGACCUAGCGUAGUUCGGAAUUACUGGGCGUAAAGCGCGCGUAGGCCGUUGAGUUAGUUAAUUGUGAAAUCCCAAAGCUUAACUUUGGAACUGCAAUUAAAACUGCUCGACUAGAGUUUGAUAGAGGAAAGCGGAAUACAUAGUGUAGAGGUGAAAUUCGUAGAUAUUAUGUAGAACACCAGUUGCGAAGGCGGCUUUCUGGAUCAACACUGACGCUGAAACACGAAAAUAUGGAUAGCAAAGAGGAUUAGAUACCCUCGUAGUCCAUACCAUAAACGAUGAUUACUAGAUGUUGGAAAUUUAUUUUCAGUAUCGCAGCUAACGCAUUAAGCAAUCCGCCUGGGGAGUACGACCGCAAGGUUAAAACUCAAAUGAAUUGACGGA